GAUUUACUGUGGAAGUGAGUUAGCUUGAUUUACUCUUUUGCUAAUUAAGUGCAUUGGAAAUUAUGCCUUUUAGCAUGCAAAAUUCCCAGAUUAAUGGUGCAAAGGGAGGGCUGCUGUGGAACUGGAUAGUAGAAAAGAUACAAGUAUUUAUUUGUAUGCAAUACCUAGACCUGGUGUAUCAUACCAUUCUCUAUUCAUGCAUAUGGGUGACACAACACGACACCAUGUAUCACAGUUUUGGCAACUUGUAUUGGAGUCAUCAUUUCCAUACUGAUUGCAAAGAAAUGCAAUGUAAUUAUGAGUGAUGACGGUUUGUGAUACAUAGUUUAUUUGGUUGUACAAUGAAAGUUGACUAAUUCGUAUAUUAAAUCAUAAGAGAUAUGGAAGUACAAAGUUUGUAUUGCAAAUUGGUGACUGUAUGUUUAUAUUGCAGGAGUUCAGCUG
rnacentral:misc_RNA from 1 species